AAACGACUCUCGGCAACGGAUAUCUCGGCUCACGCAUCGAUGAAGAACGUAGCAAAAUGCGAUACUUGGUGUGAAUUGCAGAAUCCCGUGAACCAUCGAGUUUUUGAACGCAAGUUGCGCCCGAAGCCAUCUGGUUGAGGGCACGUCUGCCUGGGCGUCACGCA
rnacentral:rRNA from 9 species